UCUGGUCUCAGUUCACAGGAAUUUCUUCAAACCUGUAAUUUGACUUUUACUUUGUGAGAAGACAUAUGUGCUGACUCUGACAUUUGAUGAAAGUCAGAGCAAAAGUAGUAAACUUCAAGGUGCUUUAUGUCAAAACUAUGAGUCUGAAUCACGACCUUACCAUCAUCAGUCUUUACAGGAGAAAGGAAGCAAAAUGAAACUUUGAUGUUGAUCUCUCAAGUGAUAACCCUGUACUCCUGUGUCUUCAGAUGUUGUCAUUUACACCAGUACCUUGCUGGCUUAGCCCAUAACUGAUUCUCUUUCAUAAUCCUUUUUCAGAGUUAUGGAUGACUAAACAAGACCAAGACAAUCAUGUACUGUAUCUUAUUUCAGAAUUAAACAACUGGAAGGAGUAUGGAGAAGAGCUUCUCUAACUAUACAAGGUCUACAAAGACUGCUUUACUGAAAGAUGUUAAAAAUGCAAUAUUAGCUCUUUAAAGGGAAGAUCAAAGAAUAUUUGAUUACAACAUAUAAACUCCUUCUUGAAGAGACACUUGUGAUAUUGAAAUAAGAGCAACAAGAACUACAAGACCAGUGGCAAGAAAUUAAAUCCACACAUAUCUACAUUAGAUACAUAAACAGUUCUCUAGUCAUGGAAAUUAAAACAGCAAGGAUAAAAGUGGACCAGAGCUUUUACUCCAAGCUUGUAUACCUCAUGUAAUACAGCUUUCAAGCAGAAGCUGUCUGCAGUGUAAAGAUGAACAUGUGGCUUAUGGAAAAAUAAAAACUUCACAGAGAAAAAUUGUGACAUGAAGAAAAAAAAAAAAAGAGAGAGAACAAAUGCCCUUGAUAUGAAAGAAUAUUUCACCUCCGGUCAGUUCAACCUAUAUGAGCUACAUUUGAGUGUGGUUUUUUCACUUAUAUGUCCUGACUGAAACAGUGUUUUGUAGUUUGGUGCAAUCAGUUCAUUGUAUAGCUGCUGCUCCUCCUGCCUUGCUAAUUGCUAACAGCAGCAACAUAGAGAGUGUGCCACAGACACCGGUGAGCCAGUGGCAGUCCUCUGAGGCAUCCAUUGUGCCUCAUGCUGCUCCUGUCCCGCUGUCACAGUUUGGGAUGUUCUAUGUGACUCAGCAGAUGCCGGUGAGAAGGACCUCAUUGACUUCUGCAGUCCUUGGGUUUGUCCUGCUCUGUUCCCUUGCGGAAAGAACCUUAACCUUUAUUUCAGGUUUUGAUAGGCACUGUACUUUUUACUAAUCAGAAACAAAAGAGAAGUUAGCAUUUUCACCCUUUUUGCUACUUUCUUUCUGAUAGCGCUUCAAAUGUAUUUAAUUCCUCCCCUAUGAACCAGUUAGCAGGUAAUAAACGUUUAUUCUCUGGUAUAAUUGUCAGUCAUUUGGUGAUCAGUACAGUAUAAGAGUCAGAAGAGAAAAUAUUGUUUUUGUAAGCAAGUAGCCUAGGGAUUUAAAUUUUCCCUUUUCAGCUUUAAGAAAAUCUUGUAACCUGUGUGGGCCAUCCUUUUAGGUCAAUUUCAUGCAGACUAUUUUCUCUUUUUCUAUAUCCUAAAUUAAUACAGUAGGUGCUCUGCUGCCAGCAUGGUUUUGCAUUGAUCUUGGCCAGCUUGUUUACAGUGUUUUGGCAAGUUGCUGAUGUACUUCUCCCUGGGGAUAGAGCAGGGGUUAAUUGCUGUUAAACUCUCAGUGCCAAGUAAUGGUUCAGACUCUGUGCUACAUUAAAGAUGACACUAAUAAGGAAAGAGUGCACUGGAUUUCUCUGUGUUGAAAAUUGGACUUGUGGUGACAGAAACUUGGAGCAGAGCUGAUGUAAUAGGGAGGCCAUAAUGUAAUUAUAACUGCUGAACAUGUGUCAUACCAAGUUAAAUGAUACAUUAAUGAAUCAAAACAGGUGAUGGAGUGUUGCUCUUUCAGCAGAUAGAGGUGUUUUCAAGGUUAGAUUGUCAUUAAUUUAAUAAUCUGUAAACUGGAUAUUCUUCAAAUUAUAGCCAAAAUCAAC
rnacentral:lncRNA from 7 species